UUAUAUGAAAAAGAAAGCAUAGAGCACAAGAAGUAAAUAAAAGAUAAAUAGAAUAUGAUCUUUAAUUUGAUUGAGAUGUGAGCUGAACCCAACAAAACUCUUCUUCAUAUGCCAGACUUCCAUCACAAGAAGCUUCACAUGUAUACACCGCAAUUGUUGCCCAAUCAAGUGAGUUGGAUUCAUUCUUAACAUCAAAGUAGUAAAGCAACUGUGGCAAAAUCUGCACAACUCAUGGUCGUUAAUACGGAAUCUUCAAUACAAUGAUGUGAGCAAAAUGGUAGGGGCUGGCCAGAGGGUUAAAAUGGGACCAUGAACAGGUCAAAAUAGCCAGGUCCGGAGAGGUUGACCUGUAACUGAAUUCGAUGGCUGAAGCAUGAGGUUGAUGAUGGCAACCUAGGAAGAAAACAUAAGUACACAUUGAUGGUGACGCGUUGUUUGCUGCUCGACAAAGUUUAUGUCC
rnacentral:lncRNA from 1 species